GGGUGGAAGCAUCAUAGAUAAGGAGCUUAGGAGCUUGUCCUGAUUUCUGUUGGUACCAGGCUAUGUUCCUGUAAUGCUGGAACUGGCUUUGCAGUUGAUGGUGACUC